UAAGAGGACAAUGAGGGAGUUCCCUGCUGGCCUAGUGGUUAGGGUGCCAGGCUUUCACUGCCGUGGCCCAGGUUCAAUCCCUGGUCAGGGAGCUGAGAUCCCGCAAGCUGUGCAGCAUGGCCAAAAAAAA